GAGCAAUAACUUAUAAGCUGAGACCUGCAGGAUGAACAGGAGUUAGGUGAAGAGGAGAACGAUGUCCAGGCAGGGGCCGGGGAAGCUCGUGCCAAGGCACUGAGGGGAAGUGCUGCAAUGAACCUCAGAGGCUGGAUCUUGCUGACUCAUCUGGGGUACCAAGGACAGACAAAGGACAUGGAGUCCAGGCCCAGGAGGCGAUACCAGGCCAGCAGUUUCACUGAUGCUCCUGUCAUGACGAUGACUGCCUCCCUCCUCCCCUUGGUCCCUGACUCAGUGUCUGCAGUGACCAGGCACCAGGCAGGGAGCAAGGAACCAAGCCUUUCACCUGCUCCCACCAACUCCUAUGGUGCUCCCUUUCCAAGGCUAGGUCUCCUCUCCACCCAGUUCCUUAUCACGUACCAUGAGAAGCUGUCACCUUGGCAACUGUCACCUUCUGGUGAGAUUUACAAUUGCACUGCUACAACUGCUUGUGGCAUGGUAAAGUUGCACCAGGACCUCUGCUGUCCAUGAGAUCAAAGUUCCAGGCCAAGGCACCAGGGGCACGAACAGUGUUGCCCGCAUGGAACUCACACUUAAUGGGAGCGGCAGCCAACAGGAUGUCACCUAAGAUGAGACUGUGGUCUUUCCACUCUUGGGUCCCAAGGAGGUGCCACAGGGCCUACAAUAAGGCAAGGAAGGCUCAGUGAGGUCCGUGUUCACCCCACCCCCACUUCAACACGAGGAGUUCUGCUUUUAUUUUG
ensembl:lncRNA FLJ40194 uncharacterized FLJ40194